GAGGAUAUAGCUCAAGUGACCGAGCGCGUGCCUAGCAUGCACGAGGUCCUGGGUUCAAUCCCCAGUGCCUCCA
rfam:Camelus ferus unplaced genomic scaffold scaffold436, whole genome shotgun sequence.